rnacentral:misc_RNA from 1 species
UGGUUCUGGCAUCGAUGAAGAACGCAGCGAAAUGCGAUAAGUAAUGUGAAUUGCAGAAUUCAGUGAAUCAUCGAAUCUUUGAACGCAUAUUGCGCCCUUUGGUAUUCCGAAGGGCAUGCCUGUCCGAGCGUCAUUACACCCCUCAAACCUCCGGGUUUGACGUUGGGCGACGCCCGCUACGGGGGCCAGCCUUAAAGCGAAUGGCGGUUUCCAACCAACCUCGAGCGUACAAGUAUCGCUGACGGUGGACGGUUGGGGGCCUGCCCUCCAGCAUAAGCUUCUCAAUGUUGACCUCGGAUCAGGUAGGGAUACCCGCUGA